AUUGAACGCUGGCGGCAGGCCUAACACAUGCAAGUCGAGCGGAUCAAGGGAGCUUGCUCCUGGAUUCAGCGGCGGACGGGUGAGUAAUGCCUAGGAAUCUGCCUGGUAGUGGGGGAUAACGUCCGGAAACGGGCGCUAAUACCGCAUACGUCCUGAGGGAGAAAGUGGGGGAUCUUCGGAAAUCACGCUAUCAGAUGAGCCUAGGUCGGAUUAGCUAGUUGGUGGGGUAAAGGCCUACCAAGGCGACGAUCCGUAACUGGUCUGAGAGGAUGACCAGUCACACUGGAACUGAGACACGGUCCAGACUCCUACGGGAGGCAGCAGUGGGGAAUAUUGGACAAUGGGCGAAAGCCUGAUCCAGCCAUGCCGCGUGUGUGAAGAAGGUCUUCGGAUUGUAAAGCACUUUAAGUUGGGAGGAAGGGCAGUAAGUUAAUACCUUGCUGUUUUGACGUUACCAACAGAAUAAGCACCGGCUAACUUCGUG
rnacentral:rRNA from 1 species